rnacentral:lncRNA from 1 species
UGUCGGAAACUAUAUUUAGCUUUUUUAUUAUCGCGUGGGACAUGCGAGUAUACUCGCGGACAGUCGGACAGCUCCGGAAUAUACCGUUGAGAAUGUUUACAUAGCGAGAGAUUCGGGAAAGAACACAGCGAAGCAUGAGAUUUUUGUCAAUAAAACUAUAGAAAUACACAGUGUUUGUAAUUUUAAUUUAUGUUGGGAAUCAACGGGAGGCAAUUCUCAACAACUGGCACCUCCGUGAUGGGAUUUGUGAGAUUUUAAGCUCGAACAAGAGCAAGAACCUAGCAUAUUUAUCAAGUGACAAAUCGAAACUAAACGACAGCGUACAAACUACAGUGAUAUACGGCCGCUAUUUAUCGAGUGAUGAAGUGAAAGAAAAGCAUGGAGACAAAACUACAAGAGCUUGAUGGGAAACUACGAACAUUAAAAUUUACGUUGGGUAAAAGCGAACAAGAAAUCGAAACGAGAAACCUCGAUGUGAUAACUAGACACGAAGCGUCAAUCAAAGGUAAAAUCGAAGCGAGUCACGCCUUAAAAGAUGACAUUAUAGAAUUGAAAUUCGGUCAGAAACAAACUGAAGAGCAAGUGCAAGAAUGGCUUGUCGACAUUGAAGGAACUUUGAAAACGGCCGACGAGAAAUUGUUAGAAUUAAAACGAAUAAAAGAAAAUAUAGCGAAGGAAAACCAGGCCGUUGAAUUGGCCGAAUCAGUUAAACAAGAGAGGGCAAUCGAGGACGAAAAGCACGAACAAAAAAUGAGUCACGAACGUGAACUUUAUGAACAACAGCUAAAGUUUCAGAAGGUGUUAGCAACGGGACAGCAAAACCAAGUAAAGAAAGCGGCGUCGACAAAAUUACCGAAGCUAUCUAUUACGCAGUUCGAUGGGAAAUGUGCGAAUUGGCCACCCUUUUGGAACAAAUUUGUUGCUGAAAUUGACGGUGCCGAUUUGUCGCCUGUUACGAAGUUUACCUAUUUGAAAGAGUUUGUUAAGCCGAAGGUGAGAGCUGAUAUCGAUGGGUUGCCUCUAACCGUAGAGGGGUAUGAAAGGGCAAAAAAUAUUUUAAAAGGAGAGUACGGCAAACCGAGCGAAAUUGUCAAUGCCUAUGUCCAGAACAUUCUCGAGUUACCAGUGGUAAAAAGUACUGAUCCAGGUGAGAUAAACAAUUUCUAUAAAAUUCUGCUUUUUAAUGUACAAUCACUUGAAACAAUGGGAAAAGUUGAGCGUGUGAAUGGAAUGACACGAAGUGUGCUUGACAAAUUGCCAGGGAUAAAGAGUGACCUAGUGAGAGGACAAGGGAAUUGGCAAGAAUGGGAUUUAGCACAUCUUAGAGCUUUAAAACAAUGGAGGGACAUAAACCUUAGUGAUAAAGAGAUUGUCAAGGACGGUGACAAAGAGAGACGAAAGGGGAGUAGACGAGAAAGUCUAUUUAAUGCCAAUGCCCGUAAACGCCCUUGUGUGUAUUGUGAUGACGUCAGCCAUGGUUCACGAGAGUGUACACGCGUGGUGAGUGUGGAUGACAAGAAGGGGAUUCUAGCCAGGAAGAAAUUGUGUUUUAAUUGUACGGGCCCAAAACACCGAGCUAAUGAGUGUCGAAGUACAACUGUUUGUCAGAAGUGCAACCUAAAGCACCACACUUCGAUAUGCACUGUGAAGGAAAGUCUUAAGGUAGCGACAGGGGGGAGUGCAAGUCAAGUGGUAUACCCAGUCGUCGACGUAAGCGUUGAGGGUGUGAUAUGUCGAGCACUACUUGAUACAGGAGCAGGAAGCUCUUAUGCUUCUGCUGCUCUCUUGGACAAACUUCCAAGACGAUCUCAAUCCAAAGAAGUUCGACAAAUAGAAAUGAUGUUGGGUUCGACUAUUCGUGAAGUGUCUAUUUCUACCAUCAGCGUGGGAGCUACUGACAACAGUUUUAAGAUGGAUGUUGAAGUGACAAGAGUCGAACGCGGAAACCUACUAAUGAUCGCCAAUCCAAAUUACCAAACUCUGGUUGAUUCGUAUCGUCAUCUCGAGGGAGUAAGUAUGGAGGACAACGAUACUAAACCCCUUCUACCAGUACAUCUCUUCCUGGGCGCAAGCGCGUACGCAGCUAUCAAGACAGCAGAACCACCCCGUGUUGGUCUUCCAGGGGAACCGGUAGCGGAGAAGACCAGGUUCGGAUGGACAAUGAUGUCUCCGGGUAAGGAAUUCGACCACUCAAAGAUGCUUCUGACACAGACAAGCCAGUCAGAUUACGAGGACUUAUGUAGAUUGGACGUAUUGGGGCUGGAGGACAAGCCUGAACAUGAUCAAUAUGCGGUCCAUGCAGAAUUUCGUGAGCAGUUAGUACGACAUCAGGAAGGGUGGUACGAGACAGGUUUACUUUGGAAAGGGAGCCACCCCCCUCUACCAAAUAAUAAAACAGGCAGUUUACGGCGACUAACGCAACUCCAUAACAAGCUACAACGGAUGGAAAUGACGGAGAAGUAUGCAGAGGUGAUCAAUCAACAAAAGUCAGAGGGGAUAGUGGAGUCUGCAACCGAACCACCAACCGGGAAAGAAUUUUACAUACCCCACAAACCUGUUAUGAGAACACAAGCUGAAUCAACCAAACUACGCGUUGUUUACGAUGCUUCAGCUCGAGAAAACACACAAGAACCAAGCCUUAAUGAUUGUCUUUAUGCAGGACCUCCGCUUCAAAAUCGGUUGUGGAACGUGUUGGUACGCAUUCGUUUUCACCCAGUUGCAGUGACCGGGGACAUUAAACAGGCUUUUUUACAAGUCCGUAUCAGGAAAGCAGAGAGAGACUCACUCAGAUUCCAUUGGAAGUCCAAUAAACAGUCAUUAGUCGAAACAUUGAGAUUCACGCGAGCGCUAUUUGGUCUAGUGUGUUCGCCGUUCCUUCUCGGCGGUGUCGUCGAACGUCACCUGGAAUCGUGGAAAGAACGUGAACCAGAGUUGGUCGCUGAAAUCCGUAGAAGCCUUUAUGUUGACGACCUACUGAGUGGUAAGCCAACCGUAGCAGAAGCAAAGGAUUUGAAGGAAGGAGCUAUUAAGAUUUUUCAAGAUGCCAAGUUCACAUUACACAAAUGGCAUUCAAAUGAUCCUGAGUUGGAAAGCGAACAGUCCAGCGUGGAGACGGAGAAUACCUUUGCCAAACAGCAACUUGGUGCACCAACCGAUCCGGAGUCAAGUCUUCUCGGCCUGUCCUGGAACAAGGAAGCUGAUGAGUUCAGUGUUGUGGUCCCCGAUAUGAAACCGAACGUGACUAAGAGAGAACUUUUGAGCAAUCUAGCAAGCAUUUAUGAUCCCUUGGGCCUUGUAGCACCUGUGACACUCAAGGGAAAGACAAUCUACCGAGAAACGUGCAAGGCAAAAACAGCAUGGGAUGCAUCACUUCCAGAACCACAAGCAGCAGAAUAUGGUCGAUGGGUAAGGGAACUGCCUAGACGUGUAACUGUACCGAGAGUCUUGACAACUCAGCGCGAAGCUGUAGAAGAAAUUGAGCUGCACACAUUCGGGGAUGCAAGUGGGAAAGGAGUUUGUGCAGCCCUUUAUGCAAUUGUGAAACAAGGUGAUGAAACCAACGUGGGUUUAGUCGCUGCCAGAGCAAGAUUAGCUAAACAGGACUUGAGCAUACCUCGCCUAGAACUUGUUUCCGCCCAUAUGGCAGCAAAUCUGAUGAUAAAUGUUCAACAAGCGCUUGAUGGAAUGCCUGUUACGGGAACCUACGGAUGGCUAGACAGCACGGUAGCGCUGCAAUGGUUAAAAGGGGGAGGAGAAUAUAAACAAUUUGUGGCCAAUCGGGUGAGAAAGAUUCAAGCUUGCCCAGAUAUAAUUUGGCGUCAUGUCCCAAGUCAAGACAACCCUGCUGACCUGGGAAGUCGGGGAGGACAGGUGACUGGAAAUCUACUGUGGUGGAAAGGACCUCCGUGGUUGACCAAUCAGAGCGAGUGGCCAAGAGAUAUAGUAACGACUGCAACCCAUGAAAGCGAAGCCGAAGCCAAAGCGACAAGAGCAGUGUUCAAGUUAGCUGUAGAACCAACCAACCCACCUGAUGAAAUCUUGACAAAGUUUUCCCUCAACAAAGCUGUAAGAGUAAACGCAUGGAUUUCUCGAUUUGUGUAUAAUUGUCGAGCGAAAGCAACUAAGAAAGAGACACGGUCGGGACCGUUGACAACGCAAGAGAUAAACGACCAACACAGCGCUUAUGUAAAACAAGCCCAAGCAAUUCUAGACGACAAAGUGAGCGACGAUAAGCAACGCCUGGGUGUACAAAUGAAUGAAGAUGGUAUGCUCGUGUGCAAAGGUCGGUUGCAAGGUCAAUACCCCGUAUUUUUACCGGACAGUCAUCUUUACACCACUAAACUCGUAGAAGAUGCGCAUCAACGCACGUUACACGGGGGAGUCGGGCUCACUAUGGCCAAGAUUAGAGAGAACGUUUGGGUGCCAAGGCUAAGACAACUUGUAAAGAAGACCGUAAAGGGAUGCCACGGGUGUCGACGAUUUCAUGCUAAGCCAGUUAGUAAACCACCUCCAGGAAACUUGCCCGUAGACCGAACAGAAGGUGAUCGUCCGUUUCAGGUCGUAGGCGUCGAUUUCGCCGGCCCCAUCAAGUAUCGCGUCACCAAAAAGACGGAAGGAAAGGCGUAUAUAACCCUCUACGCAUGUAGUCUAACGCGAGCCCUCUACCUAGAGUUAACCACGAGCAUGGAAACCGAUGAAUUUAUCCCUACCCUCAAGCGGUCACCGCAAGGUUACGCAUCCAAGAGCAAGCGAACGAUGAUGAAAUUUGAACAAGAAAUUGAACAUAGUAUAUCCUUUUGAGACGUUAAAGUUUAUAUCUAAUAGAUGACAUUUAGUAGACCUUACAUUAGUAACAUUGAGAUUAUUUAAGUUUCCUUUCAGUACAUAUACCUUCAAAAAGCUAUAUGGGGGGAGAGUGUCAGAAACUAUAUUUAGCUUUUUUAUUAUCGCGUGGGACAUGCGAGUAUACUCGCGGACAGUCGGACAGCUCCGGAAUAUACCGUUGAGAAUGUUUACAUAUCGAGGGAUUCGGGAAAGAACACAGCGAAGCAUGAGAUUUUUGUCAAUAAAACUAUAGAAAUACCCAGUGUUUGUAAUUUUAAUUUAUGUUGGGAAUCAACGGGAGGCAAUUCUCAACAUAC